GGAAAGGUGGCCGAGAGGCCGAAGGCGCUGGUUUGCUAAGCCAGUAUACGGGGUGACCUGUAUCCGAGGGUUCGAAUCCCUCCCUUUCCGCCA
rnacentral:tRNA from 1 species